GACGAACGCUGGCGGCGUGGAUUAGGCAUGCAAGUCGAACGGUAUCAUCCUUUCGGGGGUGAGAGAGUGGCGAACUGGUGAGUAACACGUAGGUUAUCUACCCUCAAGACGGGGACAACCCAGGGAAACUUGGGCUAAUACCGGAUGUGAGCAACUUUUAGUUGUUUGAAAGGUGGCGUAAGCUGUCGCUUGGGGAUGAGCCUGCGUCCUAUUAGUUAGUUGGUGAGGUAACGGCUCACCUAGGCAAUGAUAGGUAGGCGGCCUUAACGGGUGGUCGCCCACACUGGGAUUGAGAUACGGCCCAGACUCCUACGGGAGGCAGCAGUCGAGAAUAGUCUACAAUGGUCGGAAGACUGAUAGUGCGACGCCGCGUGCAGGAUGAAGGCCUUCGGGUUGUAAACUGCUUUUGUACGGAACGAAAGGUCUUUUCUAAUAAAGAAGGCUGAUGACGGUACCGUAAGAAUAAGCACCGGCUAACUACGUGCCAGCAGCCGCGGUAAGCUCGUCUCUA
rnacentral:rRNA from 1 species